GACGAACGCUGGCGGCGUGCUUAACACAUGCAAGUCGUACGGUAAGGCCCUUUCGGGGGUACACGAGUGGCGAACGGGUGAGUAACACGUGAGUAACCUGCCCACAACUUUGGGAUAACGCUAGGAAACUGGUGCUAAUACUGGAUAUGUGCUCCUGCUGCAUGGUGGGGGUUGGAAAGCUUCGGCGGUUGUGGAUGGACUCGCGGCCUAUCAGCUUGUUGGUGGGGUAGUGGCCUACCAAGGCGGCGACGGGUAGCCGGCCUGAGAGGGUGACCGGCCACAUUGGGACUGAGAUACGGCCCAGACCCCUACGGGAGGAAGCAGUGGGGAAUAUUGCACAAUGGGCGCAAGCCUGAUGCAGCAACGCCGCGUGCGGGAUGACGGCCUUCGGGUUGUAAACCGCUUUCAGCAGGGACGAAGCUUUUUGUGACGGUACCUGCAGAAGAAGCACCGGCUAACUACGUG
rnacentral:rRNA from 1 species